AGGAAAUAGAUACCCUGGUAGUCCUUGCCGUAAACUAUGUAUACUUGGUGUAACCGGACUCAACCCUGGUUGUGCCGAAAGCUAAACGCGAUAAGUAUACCGCCUGGGGAGUACGCUCGCAAGGGUGAAACUCAAAAGAAUUGACGGGGACCCGCACAAGCAGUGGAGCAUGUGGUUUAAAUUCGAUGCAACGCGAAGAACCUUACCCAGGCUUGACAUGCAGUGGACGAUAGCAGAAAUGUUAUUUCCCUUCGGGGCCGCUGCACAGGUGCUGCAUGGCUGUCGUCAGCUCGUGCCGUGAGGUGUUGGGUUAAAGUCCCGCAACGAGCGCAACCCUUAUCAUUAGUUGCCAACACGUAAUGGUGGGAACUCUAAUGAGACUGCCUGGGGUUAACCAGGAGGAAGGUGAGGAUGACGUCAAGUCCGCAUGGCCCUUAUGUCUGGGGCGUACACACGUGCUACAAUGGCCGGUACAGAAGGCAGCGAAACUGUGAAGUGAAGCAAAUCCCUAAAGCCGG
rnacentral:rRNA from 1 species